rnacentral:lncRNA from 1 species
CCCCUUUUAGUCUGAAAAUUGAUAUCUCUUGUUCAUAUCAGACGAGUGUUUCGCCUUGAGAACGGAAAAAAAAAUACAAAAGCCAUGCUGCUCAAACUGGAAUAUAACGAUGACUAUUACGUGCACGCGUAUGUGGAUCUAGGAUUCCUGUACUGGAAUGCCAAAGAUAUCUUGACUCUCUUGCCUACGAACGUCUCGCAUACGACGAGUGUUCUCCAAGUCUUUUUUUUUCCUAAUCGACACCAUUUUCUUCGACUAGGCGAUUUGGACAACUACUCCAAAGAAUGGGGUCAAC